rnacentral:rRNA from 1 species
ACACGGAGGGUGCGAGCGUUACCCGGAUUUACUGGGCGUAAAGGGCGUGUAGGCGGCCCGUUAAGUCCGGUGUCAACGCCCACGGCUCAACCGUGGAAAGGCGCCGGAUACUGGCGGGCUAGACGGACGGAGGGGUAGCGGAAUUCCCGGAGUAGCGGUGAAAUGCGUAGAUACCGGGAGGAACGCCGAUAGCGAAGGCAGCUACCUGGACGUCCCGUGACGCUGAGGCGCGAAAGCGAGGGGAGCAAACCGGAUUAGAAACCCCAGUAGUCC